GAUGAACGCUGGCGGCGUGCUUAACACAUGCAAGUCGAACGAUGAAGCCCAGCUUGCUGGGUGGAUUAGUGGCGAACGGGUGAGUAACUACGUGAGUAACCUGCCCUUGACUCUGGGAUAAGCCCGGGAAACUGGGUCUAAUACCGGAUAGGAGCGCCUGUCGCAUGACGGGUGUUGGAAAGAUUUUUCGGUCAUGGAUGGACUCGCGGCCUAUCAGCUUGUUGGUGAGGUAAUGGCUCACCAAGGCGACGACGGGUAGCCGGCCUGAGAGGGUGACCGGCCACACUGGGACUGAGACACGGCCCAGACUCCUACGGGAGGCAGCAGUGGGGAAUAUUGCACAAUGGGCGGAAGCCUGAUGCAGCGACGCCGCGUGAGGGAUGACGGCCUUCGGGUUGUAAACCUCUUUCAGUAGGGAAGAAGCGAA
rnacentral:rRNA from 1 species